rnacentral:rRNA from 1 species
CACGUAGGGGCCAAGCGUUGUCCGGAUUUAUUGGGCGUAAAGAGCUCGUAGGCGGUUGGGUAAGUCGGGUGUGAAAACUCUGGGCUCAACUCAGAGACGCCACCCGAUACUGCUCUGACUUGAGUCCGGUAGGGGAGUGGGGAAUUCCUGGUGUAGCGGUGAAAUGCGCAGAUAUCAGGAGGAACACCGGUGGCGAAGGCGGGUCUCUGGGCAGUAACUGACGCUGGAGGAGCGAAAGCCGUGGGGAGCGAACAGG